rnacentral:rRNA from 1 species
UACGUAGGGGGCAAGCGUUGUCCGGAAUCAUUGGGCGUAAAGCGCGUGUAGGCGGCUUGGUAAGUCUGCUCUGAAAGCCCGGGGCUCAACCCCGGGAGGCGGGUGGAUACUGUCAAGCUCGAGUCCGGAAGAGGAGUGUGGAAUUCCUGGUGUAGCGGUGAAAUGCGCAGAUAUCGGGAGGAACACCGGUGGCGAAGGCGGUUCUCUGGGCCUUACCUGACGCUGAGGAGCGAAAGCGUGGGGAGCGAACCGG